rnacentral:rRNA from 1 species
AUGAAUGAUGUUUUACCAAGGAGCAAUCUUAUGCAAGUGACUAGUAUACAAAAUUAUACACCAUGGUAUGUAGAUAUAGUUAAUUAUCUGGUCUGUAACAAAGUCCCUACAGAUUUUGGGUAUCAAAAGAAGAAGAAAUUCUUAUCAGAUAUGAGGCACUUCUUUUGGGAUGAACCUUACUUAUUCAAACAUUGUGCUGAUGGUAUUGUUCGAAGAUGCUUGCCGGAAGGUGAAACUAAAAGUGUGAUCUAUCAUUGCCAUUCAUCCCCUUAUGGAGGGCAUGCAAGUACUAGGAAGACUCAAGUGAAAAUUUUGCAAGCAGGAUUUUACUGGACAACUUUAUUCAAGGAUGUACAUUCCUAUAUUGAAGCUUGUGAUCCUUGUCAGAGAACUGGAAAGAUUUCAAAAAGGCAAGAGAUGCCUUAA